ACAAGACCUAGUUUGUCCAUGCUUGCCAAGGUUACAGUGCAAAUUUGACAGACCAUGACAAGAUUUAAGUUUCACUAACACUAUUAUUUGUAAUGAAGAUCAAGACAUUUUGAAAUAUCAAUGUCAUUUAAUUGUGUGCAUUUUUACACAGGUGGCCUUUUUUAUUUUUUUUUUUCAUUAAAUCAAUUUGUCCUCUUAUUCUGUCUGAAAUACAGCCCUGCAGAAGAAUGGCUGUGCAUAUUCACUCACAAACUAGGUCAGUUUGUUUUCACCUUGGAGUAAUAUGCUCUUGUCCAGAAAUCUACAGUGCCUACCAUAAAGAGGUGCAAUGCUGUGAACCCACUCUGAUGAUUUUACUCACAUAUCCUGAGGAAUCCUGGUGCUCAAGGGUUGUUUGUCAAUCCCUGGCUUUCUUGUUUAUAUUGCCUCUUAUCAGUAGAGCAACAGGCUGUUUUCAUAGAAGCUUCUCUUCUUUCAUCUCAAGACUUCUGAAGCUUCUCCAGAAAUGUUCCUGCCUUUGACCUGACACUGGAUCUGCUCUAGCCACUGAAGCUAUUCAAGGCCUGAUCUUCCAUUUCAUUGGAUGGGGAAACUCCCCGGGCUGCCUCCAGACUUUUCCCAGUAAACAUUCUGCACUGGAAGGGAAGGUGGAAGGCAACUGGACGGUGCAGUCUGGGUGAGAGGUGCUUGCUCAGUCUGCAGUGAGAGGUGUGAAGCUGUUCUUCUCGCCUUUGCUCCCUGGUCUGGCUCCAGUUCUGACACCUGCUGAUUUGCAUUCCUCUCGUGUUUCCACAUCAUGCUGUAUGAGGUCUCGACUCCCAUUCAGCCUUAAAACAAGCUAUUAAGAGUUGCUAUACCUUUUAGAUAGAUUAUGAAAAUAUCAUGCAAUACAUGCUCCUCUACUAAAUCAGCCACCAACUAUAAGGCCGAUUCAGAAUUACAGAGAAGCCUCUGAGUUAAAGUCAGCCCUGAAAAAGGAAGCAUCUGGUUCAGCUGUGUGGAUAUCACUUUGGAAUUCUGCAGUUCCAGAGCUCCCCAAUACCACAACAGCCUGCACUGGUUGGCCCUGUCUCUCCUGCUCAGCUUGCAGAAUGAAAUUAAAUGUAUUCAUCAGCCUAGCCUCUGUAAACUUACAGUAAACAAAACUGUUUUGAAGUGACAGAAUACUACCCUGCCAUUUUCCAGAAAAAUGAAACAGACCACAAAACCAAAGGAUAUUCCAGCACAUACAAAUUUAUCAUCACCAACAGCAAUGUGACAUGAUAAUGUGGAUACCCCUAUACUGGAUAACACGAUGAUACCACAGCUAAGACUUGGAAAAAGCCUGCUCAUGCCUAAGAGAACUUCUGAACAAUUCAUCCAUCCGUAUGACAUCUCUCUAAGACACUAACACCUUAUGAACUUAAUUUUGCUGGUAAGAAAAAAUACACUGGUUACAUUUCAGUGCUUUGCUACAGUAACUUGAUUAUGCACUUGCCUGAAAAAAGGAGGAGAGAAGGGGGUGAGACAGCAUCCUUUCUAAUACUUGCAUUAUGUAGGCUGUCAUGUCUUUACAGUGUUCAUUGUUACUGAAGACCUAUGCUUGAGAUUUCAUCUGUGUGGUCCAAGACUUAAAUAUGCUUUAUCUCCCUUUUGUCUUUAGGUGAUUUGAAACACCAGAAAUAUCUAAAUCUUGCAAUACUUACUCUUCUGCAUUUUCAUUUCCAAGCCAUUCAUUUAGCUUCUUUUGCCGAACACCUUUUUGAGUCAGCCACCUGAACAAUAAUUGCAAAUGAAAUUAAUUUUUUAGUCACAGAAGUUGGAUACCGUUAAAAAAAAAAAAACUAAAUUUGUUAAUUCAUGAUACUCACAUCAAGUACUGAUCUCUUGUCUUCCUCAGCUGUAUGAGGUCUGGCUUAAUGCUGUUCAUACGCUUGUCUAUCUCUCUAUAUUCAGCUGCUUGCUUUUUUAAGUCUUCUUCUAAUCUACGUCGGCUGUCCACGAUUUCACUUAUCCGAGACUUCAGCUUUUCAUAGUUGUGCAUGAUUCUAGAUGGAACAAUGUGGUAGGUUACACUCUGAUUUCUUAUUCAUAACUUUAUAGUCUGCUAUUUAGAGGCAUAGACACCUAAGAGAACAGUUUAUUUCUCCAGAUGUAGUUAUACAUUUUGCCAGUUUGCAUCUAACCUAUUUGAAGGUUCUUUGCUUACAACUGAACAAUUUCAAACCUGUCAUCUUGCUUCAGUUUCAGGCAGACCUAUAGUUGGCCUAUUGUUUUUUAAAAAAUCAUGUCAUUUGAUAUGCAAAAUCAAAAUACUGACCUUUGUAUUUCUUUUUCAUUUCCUUCCCGUUUAAAUUUUUCGAUGUAUUCCUUACUGUAUCUUUCUUGUGUUUGGCACUGCUCUUCAAAUAUUUUUAUUGUUUCAUUAAAUGCCUCAAUGGCUGUUCUUUUCAUUUGAAUUUCCUGAAAAUAAAAUAAUUGUAAUUACAGUUGUUAUCAGAUAAAGGGGAAGAUUUAUUGGCUUGUAUUACAGAAACACUUCAGUAUAUUGUAGAAAAAUAUCCUUUCCCUAUCCCUUUAUCAAAAUGUAUUCUGUCUGUUGAGCCUCAUGGCAUAGAGACAACAGGCUGGCGCAAAAGGCUACCAUGGUAAGAUUCCCAUUAUGAGGUUUAUCAAGAAAUAGAAAAAUUCUAGUUUUCUUUCUUCUAAUUUUUUAAGAAUUCUAAAAAAGUAAUCAGUUACAAUCUUUGCUUUGUAUAAAUAAAUUGAUGCUUAGAACCUUAUGGCAGUGCACUUUGUCCUUUGUAUGAACUUAAGUCCUUAGAGAUACACCUGGCUUUCUAAAAUAAAGAAGGCCUUGACAGGUCUCAGGAGGUUAUGUAGUUUACCCUCCCACCUCUGUAUACCUAGUUGGUAGCAAAGUCUUAAGUCAUUAGUUCAAGUUGGCAUCAAUUCUCCAAUUAUCUUCAAUUAUUUUUAGGCGUAUUUCCUGCACAUUUUAAGAAGCAGUCUUCAUUCUGGGUCUGUAAAACUGGACUAAUUCAUGGCACUUCAAGGCAUAGCUAAUAAUUGAUUAAGCUGAAUCAAUGCAUUUUGUCUACACACAUCAUCUCUUUUUCCUGCAUAAGUAAACCAGACCCUUCAAAAACUCAUAAUAAAAUGCAAUGUUUCCCUGCAAAUGUGCCUUGAAAACCAUAACUCAGCUUGAUGAGGUCAGUAGGCAGAAGUGGUGGUAAAUCAGGACAGUUAUGUACUUGCUUUGGAUGGAGCUGUCAGACUUGGACAGAGGGCAGCUUAAGUUUACAGGUGGCUGUUCAAACAUGAGUAAGCAAUUGCAUAUUCUGAGCAAGCACAUCAGGGCAAUGCAGUGGUGAUGGAAGAGAGGAGUAGGAAGAUGACAGUGUGAAUUCACAACAAUAUUAUCCAAAAUCCACAAAGUCUUACCAUUCUCCCUUUAGUUCAAAUCUAGCUCACCUGAGAUGUUCUUGUGUAAUCUUCAUAGAGUCUGUCAUAUUCUCUGCUUUUUUCUUGGAACUGGGUAUUAUAUUCAUGUAAUUUCUUUCCUACCGCUUCAAUGCUAUCCUCUUUUACAACUUGAUCCUGGAAUGAUAAGCGGAAAGAAAGAUGUUCUGUAAGGAGACAAUUAUAUUGCACAGCCUUUCUGGAUAAAACUGCUUAAAAAUGCUUAGAUAAUUACAUGGAAAUGUGAUUCCUCUUUCACCAAUAUGGAGAUACACUAAAUGCAUAAUAUGCAAAUGAGAAAUUAAUGACAAAAAAGAAUUUUGCAUUGCAAGUGUUUAGCUUUAUACUGAUAAUUAGAUAUUUCACCAUUGAGUGGGAUAAUUAUUAAAAUGUUUAUUUCCUAACAGUAUAUCUGCAGUAUUUAAAGUUUUAAAUAAAAGUCAAAUUAAACUCGGUGCAAAGCAUGGAGUUGGUUUUAAACAAAACCAUCAAGUUUUGUACCCACUUGAUUUUUUUCAAACAUUAACAGAGCUGAAGUUCUUCACGUUCUUCAAGUUCUGCAAUAAUUUCUCUGUAUUUUAGUGAAAUGCAAAGAAAACAAACUAAAUUACCUGCUGGUACUUGGAUACUGGAUAGAGUAAUUUUACAUCCAGUUUAGGAUUAUACUGGGCUAGAGAUUCAUUCCGGUAGUGGUUUAUUAGUUCGACCACAGAGUUGAAUGUUAAUGGGUCAGAAAAGCCGUAUUUUCCAUCUCGGUGAAAAAUUUUGAUUAAUUUGUUAUUUCCUCCUUUCCUGCAAAUAAAGUACAUUGAAAAGUUA